CCUGGAGAGCCCCUCUCCCCUCUCAUCCACACUCAGACCAGAGGGCCCUCCGCCUGCCCCGCCCCCGCCAUGAGCCCCUGCCUCCUGGGCUGUGUGGUCUUCUGUCUCCUGCAGGCAGGGGCGGUCCACGCUGGUGUCACUCAGGACCCCAGAUUCCAGGUCGUGAGGACAGGACAGAAGGCGACACUGAAAUGUACUCAGGAUUUGGGUCAUGAUCGCAUGUACUGGUACCGACAAGACCUGGGACACGGGCUGAGGCUGAUCUAUUACUCAGCUGGUGUGCCCAGUAGUGAGCCAGGAGAUGUGCCCGAGGGUUACAGCGUCUCCAGAUCAAACAAAGAGAACUUCCCUCUGACACUGAAGUCUGCCAUCCGCAACCAGACAUCUGUGUACUUUUGCGCCAGCAGUUAUUCCACAGCACUGCAUGGCCACCUCCUCUCUGUGCAAAAAGGAGGCUUCUAA